rnacentral:rRNA from 1 species
AGCAGUGGGGAAUAUUGCACAAUGGGCGCAAGCCUGAUGCAGCGACGCCGCGUGGGUGAUGACGGCCUUCGGGUUGUAAACUCCUUUCGCCAGGGACGAAGCGUUUUGUGACGGUACCUGGAGAAGAAGCACCGGCUAACUACGUGCCAGCAGCCGCGGUAAUACGUAGGGUGCAAGCGUUGUCCGGAAUUACUGGGCGUAAAGAGCUCGUAGGUGGUUUGUCACGUCGUCUGUGAAAUUCCACAGCUUAACUGUGGGCGUGCAGGCGAUACGGGCUGACUUGAGUACUGUAGGGGUAACUGGAAUUCCUGGUGUAGCGGUGAAAUGCGCAGAUAUCAGGAGGAACACCGAUGGCGAAGGCAGGUUACUGGGCAGUUACUGACGCUGAGGAGCGAAAGCAUGGGU